UUGAAACUUCUUUGGAAAUAGUACUGUUGCUGGCCUUGUAAUGAGGUAUGUGCACGUCUAUUACCAAUCUAUUCAUCCACCUGUGCACUUUUUGUAGGAGUUCUUUGAGGCUAUUUUGCACUUGUGCAAUUUGGCUUUAAAAGGCUUCUAUGUCUUAUAAACCCAUUAGUAUGUCUCUGAAUGUUUUUUAUUGGGACUUGAUUGGCCCUUUAAACUUGUA
rnacentral:misc_RNA from 1 species